rnacentral:lncRNA from 1 species
AAAGAUUGAAGCAAGCUUUAUUUCAAGCUUGACCAAAGCUCAAAACAACCUUGAACCAGAAUUUUAAUUCAAGCUUGAAAGGAUUUCGUUCAAAAUAAGGAAAUCAAACCAAUCGAGCUCGGCUCGAAAUUAAGAUCAAUUAGGCAGCGAGCCAAGCCCAAUCCAAGUUGUCAGGCUCGAAAUUUAACUCAAUGCCAGGCUGGAUCUAGCCUAUGCUCAAUCAAUCAAGCUCAGCUCAAUUACACAACUAAACAGAAAGAUAUUACUACUUAGACAAGUGUGGUUUUAGUACAGUUUCUUAGAGAAUAUCUCAGCCUCAAAAUUUCCUUCCAGUAAGACUCUAAGUUAGCAAUGCCUGGAGCUGUAAACUAGAAAUUAAUGUAUUUGCAUAUUGGCUCUUUUGCAUAUUGUCUAAGUGGUAAAUACAGCUGGACGAGAAAUAAAUAAAUAUAUAAAACGAAAUUUGUUAAAGUUAGAUUCCAGAAAAUUUCUGUAAAAUAUUUUGUAAUCCUACUUCUCUUCACCAGUCUUUUAGAUCUAUGAUAUUCAGGGCCUGAUCUGACACCUUACCAAGUUCAAUCAAAUAAAAAUUAAGAAUGGGAAAUGUGUU